rnacentral:piRNA from 1 species
UGAGAGACAUCAGAAGUUCUAAACCCAUGC